ACGUGGGACAUCUUUUUUACCAUCUUUAUUGUUCUUUAACAUGUUGUCUUUUGUUAUGUGUUAUUAGCUAUGGUUAUUAUUCAUGUUCGACUUCGUGCAGCGCUGCGAGAACCGACAUCAUACGUUGAUGACGUCAAUGUAUCGCGAGAGCGAGUCAAGAAAUUACACUCUCGCGGUACAUUGACGUUAUCAACCUGUCAGCGCAGCAAGAAGUCGAACACACGUAGUUGCGUGCGCGCGCCUCCGUCCUCGUGAGUUCAAAGUGGAUUUUAACCGUUUACCUCAGACGACAGUUUUCAUUUCUGUGGCAAAUUCUAAGGUCAUUUUCUUGUUGUGUUUUGAUGUUUUCCAUUGGCUGAAGAAUUACCAUGCAAUUUGAAGAAGUGUGAUAAAAUACACAGAGGUGAAGUCAUGUGUCUUUCCAGAUGUCCAAAUCUGUACCACUCAAAAGAUGAGCCUGAAGAGGAGAUUUGGGAAUAUGCUGUUUCAUAAGUCUUUGCUUUGCCAGAUCACCUGUGGUCGGGAUGUCUGCUAACAAGAUGCCUUGUUGGUCUGGGCGAGAUUGAAGUCUCUCACAGACAGUCCAGAAGGUCUGGAGUCCAUCUUAGCUUUUAUUGGUAAGGGACUGCACAAAAGGCUGUUUGACCCACACGUAAAGCAACCAGUCAAUAGCCUCUUUCACACAGUAGUUCUGGUAAAUUACCAUGAAUUUACCAGUAAAUACAAAAAUGUGCUGUUCACACACGCAGUGACGUUCCGUCUUUUUACCAGUAAGACAUCAUUCACACAUCAGUAUCAAAAUACUGGUAAAUUCGUUGAGAAAGCAGAAGUACCUGUGGCGCGCGGCGAGCUCAGUGUUGUAUUUGUAAACAAUCCACGUCGUUCAUAUCCACGGUCCGUAUUUUGUUGUUUUCACGUCUGUGGUAAACAGUCGCGAAGUUGCUCAUGAUGACUAAACAACAUUGCAUGAGGCGACGUCAAACCGAAAAUGCGUUUUAAACAACAGUACUGUUUGCACUUUAGGCUUCACAGAGGGCGUGCUACGUCGGCAAUUCGGCAAGUAGGUGGUAAGCUGUUUUAAACAACUUUGGUGAAGAAAUGUGGACGUAAACUUCCGGUGUGCUCGACUUUCAAGCAGCAUGUGUGUGGAAACGUCUGUAAACAGUGCGGGGGUAAACGCAUCAUCUGUAUUAAAACAUUAUGAUUGGCCUGAAGCUGUCAGCACGGUCUGACGUCGUCCGUUCUAAAUGCCGGUAAUCCUAUAUUAUUCGUUCACACAUAGCGCUUACCGGUAAAUUACUGGUAAUCUUAAAACCUGUCUUACUGGUAAAUUGGGAGCACUGAUUUACCGGAAAGGUUCUGUUCACACAUGAUCUGUUAACUGCAAUUUACCAGUAAAUGUUUGCUCUGUUCAGCAUCUCUUUGGGGGGGGGGGUUAAAGUUGAUAUGACCUAAGUAUUCCGACCCUUUACUCAGUACUUAGUUAAAGCACCUUUUGAAGUAGCAGUUACAGCCUCAGGUAAUUUUGGGUAUGACACAGCAAUCUUUGCAACUUCUGGAUUCAUUUGUAACCAAAGCGAUCAGAAGCACCAUUCACUUCUAUAGUAUUCUUUUAUCCUACUAUGGAAGUCAAUGUCACUUUGGUUACAGUUUGGUUACAGACAUUCCUCAAAAUAUCUUCAU